GACGAACGCUGGCGGCGUGCUUAACACAUGCAAGUCGAACGGAAAGGCCCUGCUUUUGUGGGGUGCUCGAGUGGCGAACGGGUGAGUAACACGUGAGUAACCUGCCCUUGACUUUGGGAUAACUUCAGGAAACUGGGGCUAAUACCGGAUAGGAGCUCCUGCUGCAUGGUGGGGGUUGGAAAGUUUCGGCGGUUGGGGAUGGACUCGCGGCUUAUCAGCUUGUUGGUGGGGUAGUGGCUUACCAAGGCUUUGACGGGUAGCCGGCCUGAGAGGGUGACCGGCCAAAUGGGGAAGGGGAAAGGGCCCAAACUCUAAGGGGAGGAAGAGGUGGGGAAAAUGGAACAAGGGGGGGAAGCUGGAGGAGGAAACGCCGGGUGCGGGAUGAGGGCCUUCGGGUUGUAAACCGCUUUCGCCGGUGACGAAGGGGGAGGGAGGGUAAUGGGGAAAGAAGCACCGGCUAACUACGG
rnacentral:rRNA from 1 species